UACGGAGGGUGCAAGCGUUAUUCGGAUUUAUUGGGCGUAAAGGGCGCGCAGGCGGCCCGUUAAGUCAGAUGUGAAAGCCCCCGGCUUAACCGGGGAAGUGCAUUUGAAACUGGCAGGCUUGAGUAUGGGAGAGGAAAUCGGAAUUCCUGGUGUAGCGGUGAAAUGCGUAGAUAUCAGGAGGAACACCGGUGGCGAAAGCGGAUUUCCGGACCAAUACUGACGCUGAGGCGCGAAGGUGCGGGGAGCAAACAGG
rnacentral:rRNA from 1 species